AAUAUUGGACAAUGGGCGAAAGCCUGAUACAGCCAUGCCGCGAGUGUGAAGAAGGACUUCGGAUUGUAAAGCACUUUAAGUUGGGAGGAAGGGUUGUAGGCUAAUACCCUGCAAUUUUCACGUUACCAACAGAAUAAGAACCGGGUAACUUCGUGCCAGCAGCCGCGGUAAUACGAAGGUUGCAAGCGUUAAACGGAAUUACUGGGCGUAAAGCACGAGUAGGUGGUUCGUUAAGUUAGAAGUGAAAGCCCCGGGCUUAACCUGGGAAUUGCUUUCAAAACUGACGAGCUAGAGUACGGUAGAGGGUAGUGGAAUUUCCUGUGUAGCGGUGAGAUGCGUAGAUAUAGGAAGGAACAGCAGUGGCGAAGGCGACUACCUGGACUGAUACUGACACUGAGGUGCGAAAGCGUGGGGAGCAAACAGG
rnacentral:rRNA from 1 species